GAUGAACGCUGGCGGCGUGCCUAAUACAUGCAAGUCGAGCGAACGGACGAGACGCUUGCUUCUCUGAUGUUAGCGGCGGACGGGUGAGUAACACGUGGAUAACCUACCUAUAAGACUGGGAUAACUUCGGGAAACCGGAGCUAAUACCGGAUGAUAUUUUGAACCGCAUGGUUCAAAAGUGAAAGACGGUCUUGCUGUCACUUAUAGAUGGAUCCGCGCUGCAUUAGCUAGUUGGUAAGGUAACGGCUUACCAAGGCAACGAUGCAUAGCCGACCUGAGAGGGUGAUCGGCCACACUGGAACUGAGACACGGUCCAGACUCCUACGGGAGGCAGCAGUAGGGAAUCUUCCGCAAUGGGCGAAAGCCUGACGGAGCAACGCCGCGUGAGUGAUGAAGGUCUUCGGAUCGUAAAACUCUGUUAGUGGGGAAGAACAUAUUUGUAAGUAACUGUGCACAUCUUGACGGUACCUAAUCAGAAAGCCACGGCUAACUACGUG
rnacentral:rRNA from 1 species